UUCAUCAAAGUCCAGAGCAUGAAUUUCACAAAUUCAUCACAAAGGUAGAGAAAGGACGGCAUAGUAAUUGCAUCAUCCUCUCUUGUAAUAUCAUCACAGAGUACGUUAGUAUUUCUGUGAUGAUCAAGUUUUAUUGUUGUAAUUUUAAUUUUAUGUUAUUAAUAAAAAUUUAACAGUAGGCUCUGCCUAAUGUUUUGCCCCAAAAAAAAAAACAAAAGGAAGAGAUAUCUUUUGUCCUCACAAGUCAGGGUCAGUCGAUUUCCCUUUUCCGUCAAAAACCUUGUUCACCAGAAAACCCAACUCUUUCACCCCUGUCGAUU
rnacentral:lncRNA from 1 species